rnacentral:rRNA from 1 species
GGACCCGCACAAGCGGUGGAUGAUGUGGAUUAAUUCGAUGCAACGCGAAAAACCUUACCUACCCUUGACAUGUCAGAAACUUGGUAGAGAUAUCUUGGUGCCCGAAAGGGAAUCUGAACACAGGUGCUGCAUGGCUGUCGUCAGCUCGUGUCGUGAGAUGUUGGGUUAAGUCCCGCAACGAGCGCAACCCUUGUCGUUAAUUGCCAUCAUUUAGUUGGGCACUUUAACGAGACUGCCGGUGACAAACCGGAGGAAGGUGGGGAUGACGUCAAGUCCUCAUGGCCCUUAUGGGUAGGGCUUCACACGUCAUACAAUGGUCGGUACAGAGGGUUGCCAAGCCGCGAGGUGGAGCCAAUCCCAGAAAGCCGAUCGUAGUCCGGAUCGCAGUCUGCAACUCGACUGCGUGAAGUCGGAAUCGCUAGUAAUCGCGGAUCAGCAUGUCGCGGUGAAUACGUUCCCGGGUCUU